UACGUAGGGUGCGAGCGUUAAUCGGAAUUACUGGGCGUAAAGGGUGCGCAGGCGGCUCCGCAUGUCGGGCGUGAAAUCCCCGGGCUUAACCUGGGAAUUGCGUCCGAAACUAUGGAGCUGGAGUGUGGCAGAGGGAGGUGGAAUUCCACGUGUAGCGGUGAAAUGCGUAGAUAUCGGGAGGAAUACCGAUGGCGAAGGCAGGUCUCUGGGCUAGUAACUGACGCUCAUGCACGAAAGCGUGGGGAGCAAACAGG
rnacentral:rRNA from 1 species